rnacentral:rRNA from 1 species
UACGGAGGGUGCAAGCGUUAUCCGGAUUUACUGGGUUUAAAGGGUGUGUAGGCGGAUAUUUAAGUCAGAGGUGAAAUCUCCGAGCUCAACUCGGAAACUGCCUUUGAUACUAUUUAUCUUGAAUUUCGUUGAGGUUGGCGGAAUAUAUCAUGUAGCGGUGAAAUGCAUAGAUAUGAUAUAGAACACCGAUUGCGUAGGCAGCUGGCUGAACGAACAUUGACGCUGAGGCACGAAAGCGUGGGUAGCGAACAGG